ACGAGAGGCCCAAACGUUGUCCGGAAUUACUGGGCGUAAAGGGUGCGUAGGCGGUUGUUUAAGUCUGUCGUGAAAUCCCCGGGCUCAACCUGGGAAUGGCGAUGGAUACUGGGCAGCUAGAGUGCGUCAGAGGAUGGUGGAAUUCCCGGUGUAGCGGUGAAAUGCGUAGAGAUCGGGAGGAACAUCAGCGGCGAAGGCGGCCAUCUGGGACAACACUGACGCUGAAGCACGAAAGCGUGGGGAGCAAACAGGA
rnacentral:rRNA from 1 species